UACGUAGGGGGCAAGCGUUAUCCGGAAUCACUGGGUGUAAAGGGAGCGUAGACGGCUGUGCAAGCCUGAAGUGAAAGGCGGGGGCCCAACCCCCGGACUGCUUUGGGAACUGUACGGCUGGAGUGCAGGAGAGGUAAGUGGAAUUCCUAGUGUAGCGGUGAAAUGCGUAGAUAUUAGGAGGAACACCGGCGGCGAAGGCGGCCUGCUGGACCGCGACUGACGUUGAGGCUCGAAAGCGUGGGGAGCGAACAGG
rnacentral:rRNA from 1 species